AUGUUUUCUGUAGCUCUGCUGCUGCUGCUGGCAGCUGGAUGUGUGAAGUGUCAGCAGUUGACACAGCCAGCCUCUGUGACUGUGCAGCCAGGUCAGAGUCUGACCAUCACCUGUCAGGUCUCUUAUUCUGUUAGCAGCUACCACACAGCCUGGAUCAGACAGCCUGCAGGGAAAGGACUGGAGUGGAUUGGAAUGAGAUACACUGGAGCUGCUUACUACAAAGAUUCACUGAAGAACCAGUUCAGUAUCGACUUAGACUCUUCCAGAAACAGAGCGACUCUAAACGGACUGAAUAUGCAGCCUGCAGACACUGCAGUGUAUUACUGUGCCAGAGAGCCUGGACCUAUGGAGCUUGUUCAAUUCAGAAUCAGGGAUAUAGUCCUUAACAUACAGACUCAGACCAAGAUGGAGUGA